UCACAGAAAGUUUUGCCUCAUGUACCUUUCCUCUCAGAGAAAGGACACAAUCCUUAUGAUGACAUUGUUUUCAUCACUUACCAUUUAGUGAAAGAAAGAUAACCCACUGAUCCAAGACCAUUCUCAUCUCUUGAUAAAACACUGAUGGAUCACUAUGGAAUGAAUACAGGAGCACAGGCAUUUGCCUCUUGCCACUAGCUCUAUCCAGUGGCUAGCCUGGCAGCUGGGUGUCACAGAUGAGGUCAAGAAGAAACAGUUGAAGGGAAUGCAUAGUGAAUGGAUGCUGCUGAACAUGAUACCCCUUCUACCCUGAUCAGUGAACUGCUUUUGGCAAGAAGCAACCKCUACAAGAGCUGUGGCACAGGAACUUCAACAGUUACACGGCCAGAGAAAAACAGCUUUCAUCUGAAGAAUUCUCUUGGGACUCCCUUGCAGUACCCAUUAAAGUACAAAGAAACCUCUUCAAGCCAGACGCCUACUCCAGUCUUGUGCACCCAGUCCCAAGAGCACAGCCUGACUUUUAUCUUACAUAUAUUGAGCCACUGCUGGACYCCACUGUUGCAGACAAACUGGACGAAGAGGCAAACACCAAGAGGGAAUUCUGCUGGAGAAAAAUGCAGAACAGCAUACCUGAGAAAAACAGUUCAAACCACAAAAAUUCACUGCACAUGGACACACAGCAAACAGCAKUCUUAGGAGUGUUGGGGAAAUAGCAUGUUAAGACAGAAAUUAGUGACAGAACAUAGCUGGGGAAAAUAAUAAAGCACURCUACGCUGUAUUACAUAGAGGCAGUGCAUUGUAAGGGAAUGAAUUAACUCCAGCUUCUCCCUCCACCCUGCUGGAGGGAAAAUGAAACGUUUUGUUCUGGACAUUUGUCAUAAAGGGGCCAAAAAAGAGUUUGAAACUUAAACAAGUGUUCAGAGAAGAUACCAAAAAAAGUGAUACCAAAAAAUGCGAACUUUAUGAACCAGGUUUAGAAAGGAUUGAAAACUACAUGGCAAGAUAUUUCUAAUACUGUUUUGCGAUCAUGCCCAGGUCCUCUGCAUGUUCUAGGGAAGACAGCUCAGCUGGAAGACUAUUUCUGUAAUUACUAAGGGCCUGACUGUGYAACUGUAGUUUUGAAAACACCAGUGAUUUCUGUGGUCUCAGCCAAAAGGUGCCUCUCUGGCUAUUUCACAGCCAUUUUAAAUCAGGAAAAGUUGGUGUURCACUUCUCUCUACACUACAUGCUACACUGAGAGACAACAUUGCUAAAUCUAUCAGCUCUUUUGUGCAUGUUCUUUCCCUAUUCCACCUUUCCCAUGGGUUUGAGAUAUAUGAAAGAAGGAAACACAGAGUUAGUUAAGAACUAAACAGGGRAGUAACCACUGGGAACACCCACUCCUGCUCUUGUGGCUGGCAGGAAAAUUGUAGAAAAUGGCACUGGAAGAAGUGAAAUUCCUCGUGCUUUUCYAUAAUAGGUAGGAGCUACCACAUCUGACUGCAACACCACACUCAGCUAUGCUCGUUUUAGCACUAGAAGCAAAUGACAGUAUGAGGCUGCCAAGCUCAGGAUGGCUCAUGUGAGACAAACUUGUGCUUCUUCACAGGUCUCUGAGCCAAAGAGAAUCAACCACUCCUCUCACCCAGAAGCACACAYAAGCCAAAAAUCUGGUUUUCCCAUCAUGUUCUUAUCUCUGAGAGUCUGAGGACACACAAAAAUCAUACCCUUUGAGUAUCUGUCUGAAAACAGACCAUGGACAUUCCAGUUUCUAGUGUAUUUAACAGGGGUCCUGGGAAUAUUUGAGGACAAAUUCAUUAAGCUACCCCACUCUCUCUUUGAAGUUUUCUCAGCAACACAAGAGGGACAAUUCACUAUCUUAGAAUUUUAAAUGGGAAGAAUGGCUUUUAAAUAACUGCUUAAGCUGAAAAAGCAAGCCACUUGGUACAAACUCUGAAGAAUAAAGCUACAUAUACUUUAUCUUCUCAGGCACAUACCUAGAUUGCUGUAUCCACUUCUAGCUUGCCAGUCACAGACACAGAUGUCCAAUGCAACAUUCACAAAAAUGUAGUGGGAGACAGCCCUGUAGUCUCUUAGUACGUAUCUAAAGGUUAUCAUCCCCAGCCAGCAAUGGUCAUUAUUUUAACAACUGAUUUUUUAAAGACAUACAGAAUGUCACCAACUAGUGAAAGUGUUAGAGCCCUCCAAUUGUUUUUUUCUUGCAGCCUUUUCACUUACCCCUGGUUUAUCCCCAAUGGUGUGUCUAGCAGCCAGUGCAGUAUUUGCAAGCUCUGUGAUUCACCAUCUAGGAAGUCUACUUGAGUAAAUGCCUUUUAUACAAACUCAUUACAAAAUUAAGUAUAAAGUGCUCUCAUGUCUCUAUUCAUAGUAAAACCACUUGAAAAAACCAAACCAACCAAGCCAAAACAACAUAAAAACCAACUAAAGACCAGGCAGCAUAUGGAGGCAGUGACCAUUCCUCUCAUGAGUGGGAGACAUUUGUCCCCAACGAUUCAAUUUGUUUCUAAUAAAAGACAAACACCAUUGUUCCAUGUGUCAAAAUACUCAGCACUGUGUAAGACAUUGAUGUAAUGAUGAUCUCAUCCUGCAGAGUUUAGAGACUGUUGAUAAAAUCUCCUCUAUUAAAACAUGAGAUUCAUUUUUUGCCACUCUUGUAAGCAUUAAUCAUAUCUCAUGCAAAUUGGCAGAACUUAAGUUUAGCUGCACAUAAAACUACAUUAUUUACAGGUUUUGAUCUAAAAUACUGCGCCAAAAGGAUACCUACCAAAAUUAUGGUCAAAAUCCUUGACACAAAGGAGAAUAAUAUGCGUAGGUGUCUACAGAAGUCAGAGGCACCUUUUUCCAUUCUGUCUCCAUCUACUCAUCAGCCAAAUCAAAACAAUUAUUUCAGUAUAAUACAGCUCAGUAAAGAAAAAUUGAUACCUUUAACAGAAUUAUUACCAAUCUUGGUUGAUUUCUCCUUAAGAAAUCAGCUGGGUAACAAAAAUACCAAGCAGUGACAGGUGGUUUAUAUAAACUUAAAAAACCUCUCCAACCUUCUACUAGGAUUUUUCAUCUAAGAUGAAAAAGAAACAUUUCCCACAUGUCAUAAAACAAUUUAAUAUUUGAGGCAAAAAAAUUACCAAGWGAUGAAUCCUUCAGAUUAAAUCAAAGAGUGAAAAAUAUUAAUGACUUAUUUUCAAAUGUUAAGAAUGUUUCAAAACAAAAGUUCUUCCUAAAAUAAGAAAUUGUUUUGUUCAGAGUGUCAAACUGGAAAGUUUGCAAAGCCUCUCUGAACAGUAACACAAGGAGUUCUGCUGGGAAGAUAUCCUCUGUGGCAUCUAACCAGCCUUCUGRGGAGGGGACUGUAAAGGACACCUCCUGGGGACCACAGGGGAUUGUCCAAGGGGCUUUCACCCCCACACCCACACCAGUCUCCUUGGCCCAUGGGAGGGGCUGCUCCCUCCCUCUCCAUAGUGCAUGAAGUCAGCACUGCAAGAAGGAAGGGGAGAGAGGAGUGAAACAUCUUCCCUGUCCCUCAGAGGAGACCGGGGCCCACCAGCAUCUCCAYAGCCUGCAAGGGCAGAUCAAAUGCACAGGAUUCAAAUGAUGGUCUCUAUAACUCAGUGAGCAAUGCACCCUGAGGAGUAAUUAGAUCUGAUGACAACGUAACAGUCAAUGGUUUGCCUAAUACAUCUUUCCAUGUCAUGUUGAAUUAAGGGCUGCUGGAAAGGAGGGGAAUGAGCAGAAAACAAUUAUCCACAAUCAAAACUUUAUAAAGGGGCA